UCUCUCACAUUAGGAGGCACUGCUUUUCCCUGACAAAAGAGCAGAGUUAAAGGAUUCUAUUUGUUGGCCAGAAGAUCCAUCGACUCGUAAAGCUUCAAUAAUCUUUGAAGAAUUCCCGUCAAUGGUAUAUUUGUUCCUCUUCCCCAAAAUAUACACUGUACUUGUCAGUUAAAAUUGUGUGCCUUCACCCACAUGAGUAUAACCUACCAGAAGAUCAAUCAGAUACUGUAUGCCGCCAACCACAAAUUCUGAUAAACCCUAAUUUCAACUACUUUCUGAUAUGUGUUUUUUUUAUUCGUAAGUUUGAUUUUCUGCAUUCCAUUCUUCAAUCUCAAGUUCCUCACAUAGUUAUAGCGGUUCCAGACGGAUUAAAGGCAUGGGUUCCAUGGUCUCCUCUAAGAAAAACAACGAAUGCAGUGAGAGAUUAAGUGAGGCUCAAUACAUACGUGGAACAGCUGAAAAGUUCUAAACAGAAGAAAAUUGAUUUGGCGAAGCAUGAAAAGUUUGCCAGGUUUGAAAGUGAGUCAACUAAGAUUGAUGAUGAAACAAGAGGUAUACUAAUUUUACUUUAGACUUGGAUAAGAAUGUGUUUUUUUUUUAAUCUCGUUUUAAUGUAUUGAUUGCUGUGCUAUCUAUUAAAACAUUUGUAAAUAUUGUAACAUUUGGAAAUCUUCCAAAGCACCCUGAUGAAAACUGUAGUCUUAAUGGUUGUACCCUAUUAGUACCGUUUCUGAGAUUACUUCUGGCGAGUUUUCUGGCAUAAUUAGGAUAACAGUGUUGCCAGAUUCUGACCCUAAGUAAGUGGUAAUCCUCAAUAGGUUCAGCUCUUGUUAUCCUGUCUCUGGGGAUGCGGCAUUCACAAAUCCGUUCUGUGUAAAGUAUAAAUGGGAAAAGAAAGGGUGGGAGGAGUUGUUAAUGGCUAGCUCACCCUCUUCACCAAAGAUUCAGGAGCGGAUUUUGGGUUUGGUGUUUAUACGAUCAUCAUUACAAUUAUGGAAUUGCGGUGCUUGCAAAGAUUGAUCCAGCUUUUGGAAGGAAGUACAAGCCUCAAGCCUAUUCACUUGUGGCAGAUUUCAGGAACUUGGGGAUAAGAUCAGACUCUAAUUACAUGCGUUUGAGGUGUUUUGAUCUGUAUAAACUGCACUCUUGGGCAGGAGGGUUAACUGAAUUUGCAGAUGGAAGAAAUCAGGAGAGUACUAGUGAAGCUGUGAAUGCAUAUUAUUCUGCAGCAUUGAUGGGUGUAGCAUAUGGUGACACUCAACUUAUUGCCACUGGAUCAACACUUGCAGCAGUGGAAAUUCAUUCAGCUCGAAUGUGGUGGCAUUUGGGAGAGGGACAUAAACUGUACGAGGAAGAUUAUACAAAAGAGAACAAGGUGGUAAGUGUUGUGUGGGCUAACGAGAAAGUGGACUACUCAGUGGAGAGAGUGCAGGCUUGGUAUUCAUGUUUUACCACUGUCUCCUAUUACCGAGGCCUUGUUCUCAGAUGUUGGUUAUGUGAAGGAACUUGUAGUGAAUUCAAUGACCCACAUACUCAUCUUUAAUUAUUUGCUUUGGAUUUUUUUUUUCUGAAACAGCAUUUGUAUUGUCUUCACUCUUCUACAGCCAAGAGAAAGUAGUCCAGAACAAGAUGCUAACAAGACUUUGAACAGCCACAGUGCAUCCCUGAUUACCUAUUCUGAUUGUGAGGAAGAGGAUCUCAUUCCAAUGAGUAAUAUUGUGGAUAAACGUACUAAGAUAGUUACUUCAAUAAUAAGAUGAGUUAUAUUGAGUUUAAAGCAAGGUUUUUGUGCACUCAUACUUCACUGUAAAUUGUUUUUUUUUUAUCCAUGGAUUGUAUGCAGCUCAAGAGAUGAGACAGCGAACCUCAUCAGCUUAUAACUGCUUCAUCAAGUAAUGAUUCAAUGAACAAAGUUGUAUAGCACUCAUAGUUCAAACUUUGAGUUCUAAUGAGAGUACUAGUUUAAUGCAGAGAAGAGAUUAACAGGUUAAUGGCUGAGAGCCCUGACAUGGCUCACAAAGAAGCUUUUAGUACAGCUGCAAAAAUGUGAGGUCUAAUUUCUUGGUUCAACUCGUUUGCAAAUUUGGUAGUAUUAUAAAGUUGGUGAACCAUGGAUAUUGGUUCAAGAACAGCGCUUUUCUUAAGCAUUAUCUUGAAAAUAUUUCAUUUUCACCGGGCCAAUUUUCCCCCAACUCAGUGCAAAGGAGAUGAUCAAGAGAGCUGUAGCCAGACAGAUCAACUUGUGGAUCUUGACUCCCAAUGGACCCUCCUAAUGUUGAGGUAAAAGCAUAACCAAUUUCUUCAUUUAAAACAAAUGCUUCUCUCAUAUCUGAAACAAAUUGCUUUAGCUGAUUAAAAGUAGUUAUUAGGAGGAGAUUCUUUGGUAUGACACUGUAUCUAUCUUUAGAAGUUGCAUGUCCCUUUCCUUCAUAUCAAAUGAACAGUAGAAGUAGGCUCCAUUAAUUCAAUAGCAAAGACUUAUUCUUAUGUUGGUCGCCAAUUGGUGUGACAUUGAUACAUUGAACCGUUUAUGAGAAUUUUUGGUAGAUUCUCUAUAAAUUAUGAUCAGUACAAGAUGUUGAUUAACAUGGUAUUCUAAAUGUAUAGAGAAUGCAUUAAAACUUUA